rnacentral:rRNA from 1 species
GGGUGCGAUCAUACCAGCGUUAAUGCAUCGAAUCCCAUCAGAACUCUGCAGUUAAGAGUGCUUGGGCUAGGGUAGUACUGGGAUGGGUGACCUCCCAGGAAGUCCUAGUGUUGCACCCU